UACGUAGGGUGCAAGCGUUGUCCGGAAUUAUUGGGCGUAAAGAGCUCGUAGGCGGUUCGUCGCGUCGGCUGUGAAAACCCGGAGCUCAACUCCGGGCCUGCAGUCGAUACGGGCGGACUUGAGUGUUGCAGGGGAGACUGGAAUUCCUGGUGUAGCGGUGAAAUGCGCAGAUAUCAGGAGGAACACCGGUGGCGAAAGCGGCUCACUGGACCGUGUCUGACGCUGAGGUGCGAAAGCUAGGGUAGCGAACGGG
rnacentral:rRNA from 1 species